ACGCUGGCGGUGCGCCUUAUGCAUGCAAGUCGAGCGAAGCUUUUCAGUAGUUUACUACAGAAAAUGACUGAGCGGCGAACGGGUGAGUAACGCGUGAGCAACCUACCUUAGUUACUGGGAUAGCCCGAGGAAACUCGGAUUAAUACCGGAUAUUCUUAUUUGAUCACAUGAUUUUUUAAGGAAAGGUCAGCCGAACUAAGAUGGGCUCGCGUUCUAUCAGCUAGUUGGUAGGGUAAUGGCCUACCAAGGCUACGACGGAUAGCUGGUCUGAGAGGACGAUCAGCCACACUGGGACUGAGACACGGCCCAGACUCCUACGGGAGGCUGCAGCAGGGAAUAUUGCGCAAUGAGCGAAAGCUUGACGCAGCGACACCGCGUGUGGGAUGACGGAUCUAGGUUUGUAAACCACUUUCAGGAGGGAAGAAAAUGACGGUACCUCCACAAGAAGCCCCGGCCAACUACGUGCCAGCAGCCGCGGUAAUACGUAGGGGGCGAGCGUUGUCCGGAUUUAUUGGGCGUAAAGAGCUCGUAGGCGGUUCAACAAGUCGGUCGUGAAAGUUCAGGGCUCAACCCUGAAAUGUCGAUCGAUACUGUUGUGACUAGGAUACGGUAGAGGUGAGUGGAAUUCCGAGUGUAGCGGUGAAAUGCGUAGAUAUUCGGAGGAACACCAAUUGCGAAGGCAGCUCACUGGGCCGCUAUCGACGCUGAGGAGCGAAAGCUAGGGGAGCAAACAGGAUUAGAUACCCUGGUAGUCCUAGCUGUAAACGAUGGAUACUAGACGUAGGAAUUGGAUUAACGAUUUCUGUGUCGUAGCUAACGCGUUAAGUAUCCCGCCUGGGGAGUACGGU
rnacentral:rRNA from 1 species